rnacentral:rRNA from 1 species
GGGUUGUGAGGUUAAGCGACUAAGCGUACACGGUGGAUGCCCUGGCAGUCAGAGGCGAUGAAGGGCGUGCUAAUCUGCGAUAAGCGCCGGUAAGGUGAUAUGAACCGUUAUAACCGGCGAUACCCGAAUGGGGAAACCCAGUGUGACUCGUCACACUAUCAUUAACUGAAUCCAUAGGUUAAUGAGGCGAACCGGGGGAACUGAAACAUCUAAGUACCCCGAGGAAAAGAAAUCAACCGAGAUUCCCCCAGUAGCGGCGAGCGAACGGGGAGGAGCCCAGAGCCUGAAUCAGCAUGUGUGUUAGUGGAAGCGUCUGGAAAGGCGCGCGAUACAGGGUGACAGCCCCGUACACAAAAGCGCAUGUGCUGUGAGCUCGAUGAGUAGGGCGGGACACGUGGUAUCCUGUCUGAAUAUGGGGGGACCAUCCUCCAAGGCUAAAUACUCCUGACUGACCGAUAGUGAACCAGUACCGUGAGGGAAAGGCGAAAAGAACCCCGGCGAGGGGAGUGAAAAAGAACCUGAAACCGUGUACGUACAAGCAGUGGGAGCCCCACCACCAAAGCAUUCUCUGGUGUUGAAGGCCCUGCAAAGCAGCAUCGCGGUGGCGGAGCGUCGUUUGCGACGCCCAACACACAAAACAAGCGGUGAAUGCUUUGGGGUGGGGUGACUGCGUACCUUUUGUAUAAUGGGUCAGCGACUUAUAUUCUGUAGCAAGGUUAACCGAAUAGGGGAGCCGGAGGGAAACCGAGUCUUAAUUGGGCGUUAAGUUGCAGGGUAUAGACCCGAAACCCGGUGAUCUAGCCAUGGGCAGGUUGAAGGUUGGGUAACACUAACUGGAGGACCGAACCGACUAAUGUUGAAAAAUUAGCGGAUGACCUGUGGCUGGGGGUGAAAGGCCAAUCAAACCGGGAGAUAGCUGGUUCUCCCCGAAAGCUAUUUAGGUAGCGCCUCGUGAAUUCAUCUCCGGGGGUAGAGCACUGUUUCGGCUAGGGGGCCAUCCCGGCUUACCAACCCGAUGCAAACUGCGAAUACCGGAGAAUGUUAUCACGGGAGACACACGGCGGGUGCUAACGUCCGUCGUGAAGAGGGAAACAACCCAGACCGCCAGCUAAGGUCCCAAAGUCAUGGUUAAGUGGGAAACGAUGUGGGAAGGCCCAGACAGCCAGGAUGUUGGCUUAGAAGCAGCCAUCAUUUAAAGAAAGCGUAAUAGCUCACUGGUCGAGUCGGCCUGCGCGGAAGAUGUAACGGGGCUAAACCAUGCACCGAAGCUGCGGCAGCGAACGUAUCACCCAAGACAACUUUACGGAGUUGACGAUUGACGGAGCGAAGCGACGUCAAAGCGUUCAUUAAAGUCGAGUUGGCUUAGGGAUACGUUCGUUGGGUAGGGGAGCGUUCUGUAAGCCUGUGAAGGUGUGUCGUGAGGCAUGCUGGAGGUAUCAGAAGUGCGAAUGCUGACAUAAGUAACGAUAAAGCGGGUGAAAAGCCCGCUCGCCGGAAGACCAAGGGUUCCUGUCCAACGUUAAUCGGGGCAGGGUGAGUCGACCCCUAAGGCGAGGCCGAAAGGCGUAGUCGAUGGGAAACGGGUUAAUAUUCCCGUACUUGGUGUUACUGCGAAGGGGGGACGGAGAAGGCUAUGUUGGCCGGGCGACGGUUGUCCCGGUUUAAGCGUGUAGGUGUGUGUUCCAGGUAAAUCCGGUUCACUUUAACACUGAGGCGUGACGACGAGGCACUACGGUGCUGAAGCAACAAAUGCCCUGCUUCCAGGAAAAGCCUCUAAGCAUCAGGUAACAUCAAAUCGUACCCCAAACCGACACAGGUGGUCAGGUAGAGAAUACCAAGGCGCUUGAGAGAACUCGGGUGAAGGAACUAGGCAAAAUGGUGCCGUAACUUCGGGAGAAGGCACGCUGACACGUAGGUGAAGUGAUUUACUCAUGGAGCUGAAGUCAGUCGAAGAUACCAGCUGGCUGCAACUGUUUAUUAAAAACACAGCACUGUGCAAACACGAAAGUGGACGUAUACGGUGUGACGCCUGCCCGGUGCCGGAAGGUUAAUUGAUGGGGUCAGCGCAAGCGAAGCUCCUGAUCGAAGCCCCGGUAAACGGCGGCCGUAACUAUAACGGUCCUAAGGUAGCGAAAUUCCUUGUCGGGUAAGUUCCGACCUGCACGAAUGGCGUAAUGAUGGCCAGGCUGUCUCCACCCGAGACUCAGUGAAAUUGAACUCGCUGUGAAGAUGCAGUGUACCCGCGGCAAGACGGAAAGACCCCGUGAACCUUUACUAUAGCUUGACACUGAACAUUGAGCCUUGAUGUGUAGGAUAGGUGGGAGGCUUUGAAGUGUGGACGCCAGUCUGCAUGGAGCCGACCUUGAAAUACCACCCUUUAAUGUUUGAUGUUCUAACGUGGACCCGUAAUCCGGGUUGCGGACAGUGUCUGGUGGGUAGUUUGACUGGGGCGGUCUCCUCCUAAAGAGUAACGGAGGAGCACGAAGGUUGGCUAAUCCUGGUCGGACAUCAGGAGGUUAGUGCAAUGGCAUAAGCCAGCUUGACUGCGAGCGUGACGGCGCGAGCAGGUGCGAAAGCAGGUCAUAGUGAUCCGGUGGUUCUGAAUGGAAGGGCCAUCGCUCAACGGAUAAAAGGUACUCCGGGGAUAACAGGCUGAUACCGCCCAAGAGUUCAUAUCGACGGCGGUGUUUGGCACCUCGAUGUCGGCUCAUCACAUCCUGGGGCUGAAGUAGGUCCCAAGGGUAUGGCUGUUCGCCAUUUAAAGUGGUACGCGAGCUGGGUUUAGAACGUCGUGAGACAGUUCGGUCCCUAUCUGCCGUGGGCGCUGGAGAACUGAGGGGGGCUGCUCCUAGUACGAGAGGACCGGAGUGGACGCAUCACUGGUGUUCGGGUUGUCAUGCCAAUGGCACUGCCCGGUAGCUAAAUGCGGAAGAGAUAAGUGCUGAAAGCAUCUAAGCACGAAACUUGCCCCGAGAUGAGUUCUCCCUGAGACUUUAGGUCUCCUGAAGGAACGUUGAAGACGACGACGUUGAUAGGCCGGGUGUGUAAGCGCAGCGAUGCGUUGAGCUAACCGGUACUAAUGAACCGUGAGGCUUAACCUUACAACGCCGAAG